UACGUAGGGUGCGAGCGUUGUCCGGAAUUAUUGGGCGUAAAGAGCUUGUAGGCGGUUUGUCGCGUCUGCUGUGAAAAUCCGGGGCUCAACCCCGGACUUGCAGUGGGUACGGGCAGACUAGAGUGUGGUAGGGGAGACUGGAAUUCCUGGUGUAGCGGUGGAAUCGCGCAGAUAUCAGGAGGAACACCAAUAGCGAAGGCAGCUCGCUGGGACGUUACUGACACUGAGGCGCGAAAGCGUGGGGGAGCGAACAGG
rnacentral:rRNA from 1 species